CCUGCCCGCCCCUGCCAGCGCGAAGGGACAGCUGAAGUCAUGGCCUCCUCCCCCUCUUUCAUUUCUUCCCUCUCGCUCUCAUCGGUCCCUCACUUUCUCCCCUACCUGGCACAGGGAGGCUGGUCUGUGACCAUCCCUAUUUCCCAUCUGGCUUUCCAGCAGCUCCCUCCCCCCUGAGGAUUAGGCCCCAGGGACCCCCCAGCCAUGGUGCUUAUCCAGAUCGCAAGCGUCAUCCUGGCUCUGCUCAGCUUGGUGCUGCUGGUGGUGGCCCUGGUCUCAGACAACUGGGUGAAGGUUAAUGAAGAAGAGGAGAGUCAUCUUGGGCUGUGGAAGAUCUGUGUGUCGCAGAUUUGCAUCUUGUGUCUAACCAGAGUACCAGGUUUCUUCCACACCAGCAGGUUUUUCAUGAUCCUGGCCAUGUUUGCCGGGUUCCUCUCCUUCUUCGCUCUCAUCGCCUCCUUCUUUUGCUCCCACUUUCGCUCCGUGUCUCUUCUCCUGGUCUCCACCGUGGGCAGCUUCAGUGCAGGUGUCUGCGCCAUUAUCGCGCUGGCCGUGUUCACCAAUGGUGAUUGCCAGCUCAUCAUGCCAGGAAUCCUCUCCUACGGUUGGUCCUACGGCCUGGGCUGGCUGUCCUUCUUCCUGUAUCUUGGAACUGG
rnacentral:lncRNA from 1 species